GCCCAGGUGGCGGAAUUGGUAGACGCGCUGGCUUCAGGUGCCAGUGGCCGUUAGGUCGUGGAAGUUCGAGUCUUCUCCUGGGCACCA
rnacentral:tRNA from 1 species